GACAGAGGUGCCGAGCGUUAGGCGGAAUCACUGGGCUUAAAGCGUGUGUAGGCGGGUCCGUAAGUACCUUGUGAAAUCCCAUGGCUCAACCAUGGAACUGCUUGGUAUACUGCGGAUCUUGAGCCACCUAGGGGCAAGUGGAACAAACGGUGGGGCGGUGAAAUGCGUAGAUAUCGUUUGGAACGCCAAUGGUGAAAACAACUUGCUGGGGGUGUGCUGGACGCUGAGACACGAAAGCCAGGGGAGCAAACGGG
rnacentral:rRNA from 1 species